CAAAUUGAAACCUUUCGUUGAAAUCUUUCGCCAAUUUAGUCAAAUCCAGUUCUUAAGUAACAAGUGAAAUAACGAUUUAACUUUUUAUCCAACACUAGAAACGUACCUAUGCCACUCCGUGUAUAUUAGCAUUAACUGGUCUUCUAAUUAGAUUGUUUAUUUGUACAGUUAUGCUUUAUGCUCUUUAUUCAGUGUAUAGACAAUACACGCUCAUAACUGAUGGUACAAAUUCUAGAACAAAAAUUAAAGUAUUUCCAGCCGAUGGAGAGGAAAAUGAUAAUGGAUCUAAAGCUUGACUGUUUGGAACUGAAAGAUCAAAUAUGGGUGCAGAAAUGUAUAGAAACGCACAUUAGAAUUUCCUUCAAAAUGUAACUUUAGAUUGUACACUUGAUUGCUAU